rnacentral:misc_RNA from 1 species
AAGUCGUAACAAGGUUUCCGUAGGUGAACCUGCGGAAGGAUCAUUAUUGAAUUUGAAAAGGGUUGUAGCUGGCCUUUCAUGAGGCAUGUGCACGCCCUGCUUCAUCCACUUUACACCUGUGCACACUUUGUAGGCUCAGAUGAGUGCCGGGGCUUUUUGACCUGGUGUGAGUCUGGCCUAUGUCUUUACACACUCUGAUCAGUCAAUGAAUGUCAUCGCGUUAAACGCAUUUUAUACAACUUUCAGCAACGGAUCUCUUGGCUCUC